CCGGAGAGUAAGGAUUUCAGAUGAGGCAACCAAAAGAGGUUAGGCUGAAGCCUCUGCAUGUCCCGAUGCCUGAUGGAGAUGGAGGAAUCCUUUCUACCCAGACAGAAGUCACACUAUGUAGCCUGUCCUCUUUAGAACAUAACAUUCUCUGGCUAACGGUGAUUAAGCCCCAGGAAACAUAUCCAAGACACCAAGAAGGCCCUCACUGGAUGGCGGUGGCUCAAGCCUGUAAUCCCAGCACUUCGGGAGGCGGAGAUGGGCGGAUCAUGAGGUCAGGAGUUCAAGACCAGCCUGGCCAACAUGGUGAAACCUCGUCUCUACUAAAAAUACAAAAAUUAGCAAGGCGUGGUGGUGCACACCUGUAAUUCCAGCUACGCAGGAGACUGAGGCAGGAGAAUUGCUUUAACCUGGGAAGUGGAGGUUGCAGUGAGCCGAGAUCGCACCAUUGCACUCUAGCCUGGGUGACAGAGCGAGACUCCAUCUCAAAAAAAAAAAGGAAAGCCCUCACUGGAUGUGACCCUUCAAUUCUGGUGUCCCUAGCCUCCAGAACUGUGAGCCAAAUAAAUUUC
rnacentral:lncRNA from 1 species